UCCGGUAUGGUGUAACGGCUAACAUUGCCGCCUUUCAUUCUGUUGGAUUAUUCGCGGCAGCUCGGGGUUCGAUUCCCCGUACCGGAA